AGUGAACGCUGGCGGUAGGCCUAACACAUGCAAGUCGAACGGCAGCACAGUAAGAGCUUGCUCUUACGGGUGGCGAGUGGCGGACGGGUGAGGAAUACAUCGGAAUCUACUUUUUCGUGGGGGAUAACGUAGGGAAACUUACGCUAAUACCGCAUACGACCUACGGGUGAAAGCAGGGGAUCUUCGGACCUUGCGCGAUUGAAUGAGCCGAUGUCGGAUUAGCUAGUUGGCGGGGUAAAGGCCCACCAAGGCGACGAUCCGUAGCUGGUCUGAGAGGAUGAUCAGCCACACUGGAACUGAGACACGGUCCAGACUCCUACGGGAGGCAGCAGUGGGGAAUAUUGGACAAUGGGCGCAAGCCUGAUCCAGCCAGACUGCGUGGGUGAAGAAGGCCUUCGGGUUGUAAAGCCCUUUUGUUGGGAAAGAAAAGCAGCAGGUUAAUACCCCGCUGUUCUGACGGUACCCAAAGAAUAAGCACCGGCUAACUUCGUG
rnacentral:rRNA from 1 species